GAAGUAUCUUUAAAAGUAUGAAAAGCUGCUAACUUUUUAUAGAGUAUUUAGUAUUCAUAUUUCU
rnacentral:tRNA from 1 species